rnacentral:rRNA from 1 species
AACGAACGCUGGCGGCGCGCCUAACACAUGCAAGUCGAACGAGAAGCUGUAGCAAUACAGUUGUACAGUGGCGAACGGGUGAGGAAUACAUGGGUGACCUACCCUCGAGUGGGGAAUAACCAGCCGAAAGGUUGGCUAAUACCGCGUACGUUUCCCAGUCCGCGGAUUGGGAAGGAAAGCGAUGCCGUGGUAUCGCGCUCAAGGUUGGGCUCAUGUCCUAUCAGCUUGGGUGAGGUAACGGCUCACCAAGGCAACGACGGGUAGCUGGUCUGAGAGGACGAUCAGCCACACUGGCACUGCGACACGGGCCAGACUCCUACGGGAGGCAGCAGUGAGGAAUAUUGCGCAAUGGGCGAAAGCCUGACGCAG